rnacentral:lncRNA from 1 species
CACAGCACCAGCCUGACAAAGCUCAAGAAGCAUUUGGACAAUGCUCUCAGGCACAUGGUGUGAUUCUCCGGGGUGUCCUGUGCAGGAAUAAGAGUUGGACUCGAUGAUCCUGAUGGGUCCCUUCCAAGUCAGCAUACUCUGAGGUUCUGUGACCGGGACAUGGCUUGGGCCCAGGCCUGGCGGGGGCUGCAGGACCCCCUUCCGCCGGCCCCGCUGCCCGGGGGAGGGAAAGAGGGGGCGGCCGGCGCCGUGCCCGGGUGAGCGCCCCGCGCGCAUGCGCCGCGAGCGCGGCGCCCCCGCUCGGCUCCGCUCGGGCCGCACUCGGCUAUUUCCGCCUCUUUGUUUUAAACUCCGGGCCGAGCCCUUUAAAUCCCCGUUUUUUCUUUUUAAAAUUUUCUCGGGAAGGGGAAGCGGGGCCGGUGUUUCCCUCCGCCUCGCGUUUCCGACUCCUCUGCUCUCUGCCCUGCGGUGGCACCCGGAGAAGGACGGGCCGGGGAGCGGAGGGUCGGCGGCGGUGCGGGGAGCCCCCGCUGUGGCCCCGAGCGGCGGCCGCGCCCCCCCCGUCAGGUCUCUGGAUGGCAGACUCUGA